rnacentral:misc_RNA from 1 species
UCUCCGUUGGUGGACCAGCGGAGGGAUCAUUACAGAGUUGCAAAACUCCCAAACCAUUGUGAACGUUACCUGUCCCGUUGCUUCGGCGGGCGGCCCGGGCCCCGCGCCCGGCGCCCCCCGGCCCCCCGUGGGCGCCCGCCGGAGGUAAACCAAACCCUUGAAUUGCAUGGCCUCUCUGAGUCUUCUGUACUGAAUAAGUCAAAACUUUCAACAACGGAUCUCUUGGUUCUGGCAUCGAUGAGAACGCAGC